UAAAGUUUUUGUCUCUUUGAACUUCAACUUUUGAUUAUAUAUAUUCAAAGGUUUAAGUGUGAGAUAACAAAGAAGAACGCAAGGUCCUGUGUGUACGUAAUGCUAAAUUUUUAAGAUGGAUAAAAUAGGAACAACAUGAAAUGGCAGUCCAACUCAUGAACCAUGAAAUGCGAGUGAAAAGGGAAGGUUAGGUAGUUCUUGCUUGUUCUGAGUGUUAUAACUUUCCUGAAUACCUAGGUCACAUACCGUGUGCUGAUAGUUUGAUAUAUGCUUGAGCAAAAUACUGCUAUAAACGAAAAAUUGAACCAAACCUUAAUACAUGUGUUAUGCUCCCUAUAUAUUAAAAUCCCUAAUUUUCACUCACUUAGUUCUGUUUCACACAGAUGGUGAAAUGCAACCUCUCUUCCUCUCCUUUUCUGUCGACCUAACGUUUUCUCCUCCCCCUCCUGGCUCGAUGUUGCUCACCUUCAUCAUCUCUUCUUUUUAUGAUCUCUAUAACCUACACAAAACCAAUCUCACCUGCCUCUCACUUUCUCUCACUAGAGCACAAAGGAGAAUAGACAAAGGAACCCCCCUAAUCUCGUCUUAUGUUGUCUCGAUGACUAUGGCAGUUACACUACCUCCUCUUCUUUGUCUACUCACUGGGAGUCUCUUCCUUCUAUUGUUAUCGG
rnacentral:misc_RNA from 1 species